CCUACGGGAGGCAGCAGUGGGGAAUAUUGGACAAUGGGGGGAACCCUGAUCCAGCGACGCCGCGUGAGUGAAGAAGUAUUUCGGUAUGUAAAGCUCUAUCAGCAGGGAAGAACGAAAUGAUGGUACCUGACUAAGAAGCCCCGGCUAACUACGUGCCAGCAUCCGCGGUAAUACGUAGGGGGCAAGCGUUAGCGGGAUUUACUGGGUGCAAAGGGGGCGUAGACGGCGAUGCACGUCUGAAGUGAAAGGCGGGGGCCCAACCCCCGGACUGCUUUGGAAACUGGAGGGCUGGAGUGCAGGAGAGGUAAGUGGAAUUCCUAGUGUAGCGGUGAAAUGCGUAGAUAUUAGGAGGAACACCAGUGGCGAAGGCGGCUUACUGGACUGUAACUGACGUUGAGGCUCGAAAGCGUGGGUAGCAAACAGGAUUAGAUACCCUGGUAGUC
rnacentral:rRNA from 1 species